rnacentral:lncRNA from 1 species
CUUUAUUACUUCUUAUUAUGUGUCUGUCGAGUCCCCUUUCUUUUAGUGUCUUCCAUACGUCCUUUCUCGAAAUCUCAGAAAUGACUUAUAAAGAAUCGUCAAAAUAAAUGGAGAUGGAAAAGAAAUGAAAUAAAUGGAACGUCAAUCUUCCGUCACGGAUAGGCACAAGGUUGUUAUUGUUGGCUGUACAUAAAUGGAGGAUUCGUUAUAAUAUAAUACCGUUAAUCACGCAAUGUUUGGCUAUCGACGCGACGCGUCGCGACGUCGAGAUCUUCACACUACGUCAUGGUGAACAGUGAACACUUCUCCGAGGUACUGCCGCCCAUUCCUUCUGCAUCUCGAUGUCACCCAACGUCAAGACGCUGAACUUCUACCUUGCCAAUUAAAACAUGUCGACAAAAGGAUUGAUAAAACGCAGCAUAAUGAUUGUACCUGGAAUAGAGGCAGAAUCCAUGAUAUCAGCAAUUCAAAAUGGAAAGUUGAAAACAAAAUAGCACACUUUCUGCGGACUUUACAAUCGUACAUUACUAAUUUUUUCAAUCUCAAGAUUCGACUCCAGCAAUAAAAUAGUUGGUAAAUAGUACUAGCAAUAAAUCUGGCAAAUAAACGAAGAUAUUGCUUCCAUUAUAUAUUUUACUCCGAAAGAGACGGACUCGUCUUCGGAUGUGACCAAGGCCAUGGCAGUAUCUUGCAGAGAGUCCAGUAACUGCGCUAUAAUGGCACCACAAAAACGUACCGACGCCCGACGCGACGUAAGAGGGCGGUGAGUAGAAAUGAGUGUUUACAAAAAGACUAUAAAACUGUGGUUAGUAACUUUUUAACGUAUUUUGACAGUACGUAGUGAAAGACUUUUUAUAAUUAUUAUUGUUAAUUUAAAAUUUUAUUUUGUAAAUAAAUUAAUUUGAAAAUAUAAA